rnacentral:lncRNA from 1 species
ACCUAUGCCUUCAAAGUGAUAAAGAUCCAGACUGAGUUGAAAAGAAUGAUAAAGACAGAGCUGAGAGGGCCACAGUUUUAGUGACAGCCUCAGCUGUGACAAAGGAGAGAAAACAGAAAGACCUGGGAAAGUGCAAGGAUGAAGCAAUUAAGUUUGAGAAAUGUGAUGUGAGGUUUAGGAAAGGUGGAUUUUAGCCCCAGCAGACUUUUAGCUGGACACGGACCUAAUACCUUGAGACUUCAUUGUUCCCAUUAAAGAAAAAAUUAUCUUCUGACUUUCUAGGGGUUUGGGGGUCCCAGAUAUCAAAAGAUUUAAACCACUUAGGAGGUUUCCAUUGGAAGGAGAAGACUGUCUUUAGCCCACUGCAUCCCCUCAAGCCAUCCCAAGCUUUCUCUGUGCCAGGGACUGGACGCACGCUAAAAUACGAACCUGUGUGGACUUCUUUCUUAGGAGCCUUUGCACCAGCACAAGAAAGAGACAGAGACAGUGAUGGCGAGACUCAAGCACGCAUAUCUUGAUGGACUCCAAAAUGCUCUUCCUAAUUCCUUCUCUGUGGCUCAUUCUUCAUCCUCUAUUUGCAUUGGGAAGGACAGCGUAGGGCCGAGAGGAAUCACGGCUGAAUGGUCUGAGAUCCCGACCUGCAGAAGUAACUGGCCACUUCAGGGAAGAGAUGACUAAGAGCACUUAGAAUUUAUCCAGCUCUCAAGGCGACUUCACCAAGGAACAACCACAGUGUUGUUUUUUCACAGAAACACCAAACUUGGAAAUAAACCCUUCCAGGCUG